rnacentral:rRNA from 1 species
CGGGAGCUUACCAUGCAGUCGAGCGGAACGAUGGUAGCUUGCUACCAGGCGUCGAGCGGCGGACGGGUGAGUAAUACUUAGGAAUCUACCUAGUAGUGGGGGAUAGCUCGGGGAAACUCGAAUUAAUACCGCAUACGACCUACGGGAGAAAGGGGGCAGUUUACUGCUCUCGCUAUUAGAUGAGCCUAAGUCGGAUUAGCUAGAUGGUGGGGUAAAGGCCUACCAUGGCGACGAUCUGUAGCUGGUCUGAGAGGAUGAUCAGCCACACCGGGACUGAGACACGGCCCGGACUCCUACGGGAGACAGCAGUGGGGAAUAUUGGACAAUGGGGGAAACCCUGAUCCAGCCAUGCCGCGUGUGUGAAGAAGGCCUUUUGGUUGUAAAGCACUUUAAGCAGUGAAGAAGACUCCGUGGUUAAUACCCACGGACGAUGACAUUAGCUGCAGAAUAAGCACCGGCUAACUCUGUGCCAGCAGCCGCGGUAA